UACAGAGGUCCCAAGCGUUGUUCGGAUUCACUGGGCGUAAAGGGCGCGUAGGCGGCCACGCACGUCCGUUGUGAAAUCGCCCGGCUCAACUGGGCGGGGUCAGCGGAUACGGUGUGGCUCGAGCAAGCUAGGGGGCAAUGGAAUUCCCAGUGUAGUGGUGGAAUGCGUAGAUAUCGGGAGGAACACCAGUGGCGAAGGCGGUUGCCUGGAGCUUUGCUGACGCUGAGGCGCGAAAGCGUGGGGAGCGAUCCGG
rnacentral:rRNA from 1 species